GAUGAACGCUGGCGGCGUGCCUAAUACAUGCAAGUCGAGCGAACAGAUGAGGAGCUUGCUCCUCUGACGUUAGCGGCGGACGGGUGAGUAACACGUGGAUAACCUACCUAUAAGACUGGGAUAACUUCGGGAAACCGGAGCUAAUACCGGAUAAUAUAUUGAACCGCAUGGUUCAAUAGUGAAAGACGGUUUUGCUGUCACUUAUAGAUGGAUCCGCGCCGCAUUAGCUAGUUGGUAAGGUAACGGCUUACCAAGGCAACGAUGCGUAGCCGACCUGAGAGGGUGAUCGGCCACACUGGAACUGAGACACGGUCCAGACUCCUACGGGAGGCAGCAGUAGGGAAUCUUCCGCAAUGGGCGAAAGCCUGACGGAGCAACGCCGCGUGAGUGAUGAAGGUCUUCGGAUCGUAAAACUCUGUUAUUAGGGAAGAACAAAUGUGUAAGUAACUAUGCACGUCUUGACGGUACCUAAUCAGAAGGCCACGGCUAACUACGU
rnacentral:rRNA from 1 species